rnacentral:lncRNA from 1 species
AGAAACACUCUGCUACAGAACAAGUGUCUUGGUUCACAGCAAAGAGGACAAAGAAAACAGCAAGUUUUAGGGGGUUGAAUCCUGGAUUCCCCUGGCAAACACCAUUCUACUUUCCGUCUCUAUGAAUUUGACUACUCGAAGUACCUCAUGUGAAAUGUUGGUGCCAAAUGAACUUUUCUGGUUCUUCUGAAUAUGCCACUGUUGCUGGAGAAAUGUCACUGCUAGAGAACAGAAGACUAUUAUUCCAAAGGGUAUUUGAGACUGACUGAAUCAGGUCUGGAACAUUAUUGAAAUGAGACCCACAAAAGAAGAGAUACUGAGAGGAUGAAGAGAUCCUCCUAGCUUGGCGGAAUACUCUGCUCUGAUGGAAGUACCAUCCUGGUCCAAACAUGAAAGAAUUCCCAACAUCAAGAUUGAUUGAAACAUAUUCAAUGGAUCAUUUGCUCCAGAAGAAGCUGGUUGCCAUGUCUUGAGGACAGUAAACCCUCUGGGGAGGUUCCUGUGGUAAGGAACAAGGGCUCCUGGCAAUAGCCUCUGAGUGAGCCACCUUGAAAAUGGAUUGUCCAGCCCCAGUCAAGCUUUCAGAUGACUGUAGCUCCUGCCAAUGUCUUCACCACAACCUCAUGAGAUCCCAAGCUACAACCACUCAGUUAAGUUAUGCCAAAAUUCCUGAUUCACAGAAAUUGACAUACAGGAGAGGUCACAGUUAAGAUCUUGAUGUUCUAUCUUGACCCAUAAUAUAGGAACUUCAUCUUUUGGGAAGCACCAGGGAGAGCUGCCUGUGCCUGGCAGAAGCUGCCCAUGCCCCACUGAUACCCCACAGUACUUCCUGUUCUGCUUAGUACUCCUGCUUCUUUCUACAAACAACUGUGAUUCUCUACCUGGGAGCUUCCUCUGGCCACAGGAGCCUGCUCACCUGAUUGGGACACCCUAGCAGUACUGGCUCAUAGAUGGAAGGGACUUGCCUUGUCGCUGAUGAGACUUUCGACUUGGACUUUUGAGUCAAUGCUGGAAUGAUUCCCAUAAUCCCCACGUGUCGUGGGGUGGAGCCGGUGGAGAUAAUUGAAUCAUGGGAACACUUUCCCCCAUGCUGUUAUUGUGAUUGUGAAUUCUCACGAGAUCUGAUGGUUGUAUAAACGCCUUCCCUCUUCGCUGGGCACUCAUUUUUCUCCUUCCUGCCACCAUGUGAAGAAGGAUAUGCUUGCUUCUUGUGCCAUGAUUACAAGAACACACUCAGAAAUUUUCUCAACACAGUUUCUAUGCAGAGAAGAGAUGUGGGACAGAUUUGAACUGCUGUCAUAUUUGUAUGAACCCAAGACAUUUUCCAAGACCAAGAGGGAUAAAGACAGCAAUUUCUAUGACUGGCAUUUUACGUGCAUGCACUGUUUCCAAGUGUUCUUGUGUUCUGUGCCUUAAACAUUCUGUGUUGCAACUUUAUGAAUUGAAUUAAAGAUAAUCCCAAGCCCCCAAUUGUCUCAAAAAGUGAAAAAGUAAAUGUUAUAGAAAGAAAAGCGGGAAAAACUUUAAGCAUGAAAUAAAAGAUGGGUUGUGAUAAAAGAGGACUGAAGAAGGAAAAGGAAUGAAAGGUUCUGCCAUCCUUCAUGGCAGCCCACUCCACUUGGUAUGAGAUACUGCUCCCUUGGCUGAAAGUUAACUGCUGUACUCCCUCCACUUUCUAUAAAUGACUCCCUGUGCCUUUCCUUCACCACACAACUCACACUCUCUUCCUUCCUAGUGAGUCCACUAAGGCUUCACUGCAUUAUUACAUUUAUUUCAUUUAGGAAAAACUGACUUUAUUUUCCUUCAAAUUGUUUUUUAUUGUUUAUAUGAGCUUGGUUUUAUUGUCAUUCUAUUUUUCUCCAUGAAAAUAGAGAAAAAUAGGGUCGAAAGGUUAGGUUGGGUGGAAAGGAAUUAUAUUUUUUCUCACUAAAAUUGAUGUAAAUAUCGUUUUCAAUUGAAUGAUUUUACACAGUGGCACAGUUUCAGGUAUGUUGCUAAGCAGGAAAGUUGUUAACCAAAGCAUGAAUGUAUUAAGGAGAUGUAUGCAGAAUGACAUGCAAGGUUAUCUAUGAUUGCUGAGUGAGAAAGAGCAAGUUGCUGAGUAUUAUAUAAGUAUG